CCUCCCCCGACGCGCCGCCGCCUGCCCGACGCCCGGAUCUACCGUCGCCCGCGACACGCCGCCGACCUCCGCCGUCGGCCACGGCCGCCGCCGAGCUCCGGCAACCGGGAGAGAGAAGAGAGAGCUCGAGAGAGGGCCGGUGGGGAGAGAACUCGGGAGAGGGAAGAGAGAGGAGAGAGAGUUGCCAGGAAAAUUAAAAAAAGUUUUAUGGGCCAUCUGGAGCACCUUGUCCUAUGGGGUGUGUAUCCCAUCCCACCUGGCAUGUUUAGGGUUCCUUAUGUGGGAGCCUGCAUAGCGCAUGUUCUUAGGGUUAGGGUGACGUUAAUGUUUAAGAUUCAAAUCCUCUUUUUUUUUCUUAGGGUGACGUUAAUGUUUAAGAUUCAAAUCCUUUUUUUUUAUAUUUAUAUUUGCAAACCAAAAUUUAAAAUGUAAACUUAUGUUUAGAGUCGAUGUUAAUGAGUUUAUUUUUUUAAUCACUAGAAACACAUAUAUAAAAGUUUUAUCUAUAAAUUAGAUUUUAAUUGUAAAUAAGCCGUUUCGCUUAUGCUCGAUUCCAACAAAACAUUAAGGCUGUAGACAGUGAAAAAUAUAUGUUAAAAAAAACUGACAUUCCUGGCUUCUUCCUGAACUGUAGUCUCCAAGAACCCAAGUGAUAAUCUAGACUAUUUAAUAGAAAAUGAUUAUGGAGGAAAGUUGCAGCUAACAGAACAAUAAUCCAUACUACGAUGUCACUGUCGUGUCAAUCCGUACGCCAGUGCAGCGCACGUUGAGGGAAUUCCCGAAUUUGCCGAGCAACAUCCCCCGGUCAAAAGUCAGACCCACCCGAAGCUUACACCACACCAACCAUACUUAGGUACGGCUACAUUUCUAGAAUAUUUCUUCAAAAGUUUAUUUUUCA
rnacentral:lncRNA from 1 species